GACAGAGGGUGCAAACGUUUGUUCGGAAUUACUGGGCGUAAAGCGCGUGUAGGCGGCCAUCUAAGUCGGGCGUGAAAUCCCACGGCUCAACCGUGGAAGUGCACUCGAAACUGGAUGGCUAGAGUCCUGGAGAGGAAGGUGGAAUGCUUGGUGUAGAGGUGAAAUUCGUAGAUAUCAAGCGGAACACCGGUGGCGAAGGCGGCCUCUGGACAGCGACUGACGCUGAGACGCGAAACGUGGG
rnacentral:rRNA from 1 species